rnacentral:rRNA from 1 species
GACGUAGGUGGCGAACGUUAUCCGGAAUUAUUGGGCGUAAAGGGUGCGUAGGCGGCAUGAUAAGUUAUUGGCGGCAAAUCGAGGCUCAACCUCGUGGAAACUAAUAAAACUGUCUUGCUUGAGUGCAGAAGAGGUUAACGGAACUCCAUGUGGAGCGGUAAAAUGUGUAGAUAUAUGGAAGAACAUCAAUAACGGCGAAGGCAGUUAACUAUUCUGUUACUGACGUUGAGGCACGAAAGCGUGGGGAGCAAAAAGG